GAGAAAGGGACGGGGGCUGUGAUCCCGUUUGAUGGCCUUGUCAUGGUUUAAAUUCCCUCCUGGGUUCUGGGGGGAGGCUGCAGCGCUGGGCCCGCGGUUAAAAGGGCUAAUCCAGCCUCUUCCUCCUCCUCCUCCUCCUCCUCCUCCUCCUCCUCCUGCUGCUCCCCGGGAAUCCUCACCGGGGAUAUUUGAGGAAAUGAAAGGGAAAAAGGAAAUAAAAAAAUAGAGUGGGAAAUGCCCGUUUGGCAAGCGGGGAAUCCAAACCCCAACCCAGCGGGAAAAUUCCCGUUUUCCAGGUGGGGAAUCCAAACCGGAAUCCAGCGGGAAAAUUCCCAUUUUCUGGGCGGGGAAUCCAAACCCGAAUCCAGCAGGAAAAUUCCCAUUUUCCAGGCGGGGAAUCCAAACCCGAAUCCAGCGGGAAAAUUCCCGUUUUCCAGGUGGGGAAUCCAAACCCGAAUCCAGCGGGAAAAUUCCCAUUUUCCGGGUGGGGAAUCCAAACCCGAAUCCAGCGGGAAAAUUCCCAUUUUCCAGGCAGGGAAUCCAAACCCGAAUCCAGCGGGAAAAUUCCCAUUUUCCGGGCAGGGAAUCCAAACCCAUUUGGGAAUUCGGCUGCUGCCCCGAGAGAAGGGACAGCGCCGGGAGGGAGCGAAUCCUGCAGGAUUUGGGGUGCGGGGAGGGGACACCGGUGGAAGCCCGGGCCACCCCAGGGUGAACCAGUGGCUCUGUCCUGGUGGCACUGCCGUGUCCCCUGUCCCCAAGGGCCCGGUGGCUCUGUCCCGGUGGCACUGCCGUGUCCCCUGUCCCCAAGGGCCCGGUGGCUCUGUCCCGGUGGCACUGGAGUGUCCCCUGUCCCCAAGAGCCCGGUGGCUCUGUCCCGGUGGCAGUGCCGUGUCCCCUGUCCCCAAGGGCCCGGUGGCUCUGGCCCGGUGGCUCUGUCCCGGUGGCACUGCCGUGUCCCCUGUCCCCAAGGGCCCGGUGGCUCUGUCCCGGUGGCACUGCCGUGUCCCCUGUCCCCAAGAGCCCGGUGGCUCUGUCCCGGUGGCACUGCCGUGUCCCCUGUCCCCAAGGGCCCGGUGGCUCUGGCCCGGUGGCACUGCCGUGUCCCCUGUCCCCAAGGGCCCGGUGGCUCUGGCCCGGUGGCUCUGUCCUGGUGGCACUGCCGUGUCCCCUGUCCCCAAGGGCCCGGUGGCUCUGUCCCGGUGGCUCUGUCCCGGUGGCACUGCCGUGUCCCCUGUCCCCAAGGGCUCGGUGGCACUGUCCUGGUGGCACUGCCGUGUCCCCUGUCCCCAAGGGCCCGGUGGCUCUGGCCCGGUGGCACUGGCCCGGUGGCUCUGCCGUGUCCCCUGUCCCCAAGGCCCGUUGCUAAGGCCGGGUUGUGGCGGAGCCAGACACGCAGACGGAGCCUCCCCCGGGAGCUGCCCAGACGGGUGACCCUGCCCGGCGGCGACAGUGACAGUGACAGAUCGAGCCGCGACAGCGACAGUGACAGAUCGAGCCGCGACAGUGACAGUGACAGAUCGAGCCGCGACAGUGACAGUGACAGAUCGAGCCGCUCCCGGCCCUCGGCAGCCGCUGGGCUUUGGGAAAUGCUCCGGAACGUUCCAGGCCUCGGGACAGGAGAGAAGCCGCGGAGAGCCCGGAAGUCGACGGCGUUUUUUAUUAAAUAUACAUCCUCUCUUGGCACAAAUCUUAAAAUAUAUAUAAACAUUAUAUAACAAAGUGUCUUCACUGCAAUAAAAUAGAACUCCAGAUCCAAGAAAAGCCGUCCAAACCGACAGGGGAAAAGGCAAUUAACAGUGUUUGUGCUAAUUAGGAGAUGCAUAGAACGCACAGGCAGUGAGAGGGGCUGGGAUGGCUCGUGGUGGUUUUGGGGGGAAAAAGGGAAAAAAGGGGAAAAAGGGGGG